AAAUUAAGAAGAUGAAGAAGAAGACUUUGACACUUGAUAUCGCAGCUGACACUUGUAAUUUUAAUUUAUCAUUCCCUUAUGAAAUUUAUUCAAUUCAUUAGUGACCAUGAUUGCUCUCAGAGUUUCAUACUUCUUGAGAUGUACCAGUACAGGGUUGAGAAACUUAUCCACGACUACCACAAAAC